GCAAGUCGACGGCAGCAUGAUCUAGCUUGCUAGAUUGAUGGCGAGUGGCGAACGGGUGAGUAAUACAUCGGAACGUGCCCUGUAGUGGGGGAUAACUAGUCGAAAGAUUAGCUAAUACCGCAUACGACCUGAGGGUGAAAGUGGGGGACCGCAAGGCCUCAUGCUAAGGAGCGGCCGAUGUCUGAUUAGCUAGUUGGUGAGGUAAAGGCUCACCAAGGCGACGAUCAGUAGCUGGUCUGAGAGGACGAUCAGCCACACUGGGACUGAGACACGGCCCAGACUCCUACGGGAGGCAGCAGUGGGGAAUUUUGGACAAUGGGCGAAAGCCUGAUCCAGCAAUGCCGCGUGUGUGAAGAAGGCCUUCGGGUUGUAAAGCACUUUUGUCCGGAAAGAAAUGGCUCUGGUUAAUACCUGGGGUCGAUGACGGUACCGGUAAGAAUAAGGACCGGCUAACUACGUGCCAGCAGCCGCGGUAAUACGUAGGGUCCAAGCGUUAAUCGGAAUUACUGGGCGUAAAGCGUGCGCAGGCGGUUGUGCAAGACCGAUGUGAAAUCCCCGGGCUUAACCUGGGAAUUGCAUUGGUGACUGCACGGCUAGAGUGUGUCAGAGGGGGGUAGAAUUCCACGUGUAGCAGUGAAAUGCGUAGAGAUGUGGAGGAAUACCGAUGGCGAAGGGCAGCCCCCUGGGAUAACACUGACGCUCAUGCACGAAAGCGUGGGGAGCAAACAGGAUUAGAUACCCUGGUAGUCCACGCCUAAACGAUGUCAACUAGUUGUUGGGGAUUCAUUUCCUUAGUACGUAGCUAACGCGUGGAAGUUGAACGCCUGGGGAGUACGUCGCAAGAUUAAAAACUCAAA
rnacentral:rRNA from 1 species